GGUAACCUGGUGCGAGAUAUUAUAACCUGUCAGUUUUUCAUGUGACAAUCAUUACGUGGCCAGAGGGUAGUUAACCUGUGCGAGAUAUUACAACCCGUCAGUUUUUCAUGUGACACAAUCAUUACGUGGCCAGAGGGUAGUUAACCUGGGCGAGAUAUUACAACCUGUCAGUUUUUCAUGUGACACAAUCAUUACGUGGCCAGAGGGUAGUUAACCUGGAC
rnacentral:lncRNA from 1 species